GAAAUACCACCCUUUAAUGUUUGAUGUUCUAACGUGGACCCGUGAUCCGGGUUGCGGACAGUGUCUGGUGGGUAGUUUGACUGGGGCGGUCUCCUCCUAAAGAGUAACGGAGGAGCACGAAGGUUGGCUAAUCCUGGUCGGACAUCAGGAGGUUAGUGCAAUGGCAUAAGCCAGCUUGACUGCGAGCGUGACGGCGCGAGCAGGUGCGAAAGCAGGUCAUAGUGAUCCGGUGGUUCUGAAUGGAAGGGCCAUCGCUCAACGGAUAAAAGGUACUCCGGGGAUAACAGGCUGAUACCGCCCAAGAGUUCAUAUCGACGGCGGUGUUUGGCACCUCGAUGUCGGCUCAUCACAUCCUGGGGCUGAAGUAGGUCCCAAGGGUAUGGCUGUUCGCCAUUUAAAGUGGUACGCGAGCUGGGUUUAGAACGUCGUGAGACAGUUCGGUCCCUAUCUGCCGUGGGCGCUGGAGAACUGAGGGGGGCUGCUCCUAGUACGAGAGGACCGGAGUGGACGCAUCACUGGUGUUCGGGUUGUCAUGCCAAUGGCACUGCCCGGUAGCUAAAUGCGGAAGAGAUAAGUGCUGAAAGCAUCUAAGCACGAAACUUGCCCCGAGAUGAGUUCUCCCUGAGACUUUAGGUCUCCUGAAGGAACGUUGAAGACGACGACGUUGAUAGGCCGGGUGUGUAAGCGCAGCGAUGCGUUGAGCUAACCGGUACUAAUGAACCGUGAGGCUUAACCUUAC
rnacentral:rRNA from 1 species